GGGCUUUUAACUUAGUGGUAGAGUAAUGCUUUGGUAAGACGGAAGUCUUCGGUUCGAAUCCGAGAAAAUACU
rnacentral:tRNA from 1 species